rnacentral:rRNA from 1 species
GACGUUAGCGACAGAAGAAAGCACCGGCUAACUCCGUGCCAGCAGCCGCGGUAAUACGGAGGGUGCGAGCGUUAAUCGGAAUUACUGGGCGUAAAGCGCAUGCAGGUGGUUUGUUAAGUCAGAUGUGAAAGACCCGGGGCGUCAACCUCGGAAUAGCAUUUGAAACUAGGCAGACUAGAGUACUGUAGAGGGGGGUAGGAAUUUCAGGUGUAGCGGUGAAAUGCGUAGAGAUCUGAAGGAAUACCGGUGGCGAAGGCGGCCCCCUCGGACAGAUACUGACACUCAGAUGCGAAAGCGUGGGGAGCAAACAGGAUUAGAUACCCUGGUAG